CGGGAACCAAAAUCAUGGUCUUUCCAGGAGAAACCGUUGCAGAGGCCAAUUUGCUGACUUGAGGGCAGUGGCACGAUAUCGACUCACUGUAACCUCCGCCUCCUGGGCUCAAGUGAUCCUCCCAUCUCAGCCUCGUGAGUAUCUGGGACCACAGGCAUGCACCACCACGCCUGGCUAAUUUUUGUAUUUUUUGUAGAGAAGGGGUCUUGCCGUGUUGUACAGGCUGGUCUCCAACCGCUGGCCUUAAGUGAUACGCACGCCUCGGCUUCCCAAAGUGUUGGGAUUACUACAGGCGUAAGCCACCAUGACCGGCCUCAUCAAACACUUUUUGACUCACCAUUGUGUGCCAGAACUUGUCCCUUUGGUACUGGGGGAUACAAGGAUGCAUAAGACACAGGUCUUGAUUUAGGGGAACACCCAGUCUAGCCUGGGAAAGUUGGGACCUUGUGUGGGAUUAGAUGGAGGACAUGCCAGUGGGACUUAGAGAAAGAUACAGGAUGAGUGAGACGCGGUGGCUCAUGCCUGUAAUCCCAGCACUUUGGGAGGCCAAGACAGGCAGAUAGCUUGAGCCCAGAAGUUCAAGACCAGCCUGGGCAACAUGGCCAGACACUGACUAAAAAUACCAAAAAAAAAAAAAAAAAAAAAGCCGGGCAUGGUGGUGCACGCCUGUGGGUCCCAGCUACUGAGGUGGGAGGAUCCCUUCAGCCCGCGGUGAGGGGUGGGGAGGGCGGAGGUUGCAGUGAGCCAGAAAAAAAAAAAAAAAAAAAGCAGGAUCCCAGAAUACAUGCCAGGCUGAGGAGUUUGGACUUGCCUUGUAGGUACGAGGAUGUAUUGAGCAGAAGAGGGAAAGAAGGUACUGUAAAGAAGUCAGCAAAAGGGACUGCACGUGUCCCUACCCCUGCAAGCUGUUCCUUGGCCUCACUGAGCCACCCAAGAACUAAAACUCGAGAAAAGUAUCCCUUUCUGCCUCCCCAUAUCGGUAUUUCCGUUCACUUAGCGCCCCCUAGAAACUUCCAAACAGAAAAAUCGCCAUUUCACAGGAAAGCCUUGUCAUAAUUGCUCUGUAUGUCAUACCCAUUUAUCCCAUAAUUUUUUCCAUAAAAUUAAUUUUACUUUCAAAACAUGCUACAUGGGGACAAUACUUUAAGCAAUGGAUCUUAAUUACUGGAAUUUUAGACACUUGCAGAAGGGAUGUGGGAUGCUUCAAAGACAUUCCUUAGAGGUGGAUUCAACAGAGAAACAUUUUGUGAAGAAGAGUCACAUCUGACUCCUUUUCCCAUUCUGCCACUCAUUGUGUGACCUUGAACAAUUCUUUUUUUUUUUUUUUUGAGAUGGGGUUUCCCUGUGUUUCCCAGGCUGGCCUUGGACUCCUGGGCUCAAAUGAUCCUCCUGCCUCAGCCUCCCAAGUAGCUGGGAGUACAGGUGCAUGCCACUGUGCCGGGGCAAACUUGAUUUUCACUGUAGUGUCCUGCAGCCACUGAGAAAAUUCCACAGACAGGGCUUCAAUUUCCACCCACCCCCACCUCUCCAUCUCUUCUACCCCUUCUAUCUAAAAUAUAUGUGUGUGUGUGUAUUAUAUACAAAAUUGUAUGUUAUAUGGAAUAUUUCAUAUAUGUGUAUAUGUAUGUACACAUACAUAUACAUAUACAUGUAUAUAUAUGAAAUAUAUAAGAAGUUUUAAAAUUCUGAAUGAGGUAACCCUCAAGGACCCUUUCCAACCUAGUUUUUGUGUGACGCACUUUGCCAGCCACUCCCAAAACUUAAUGGCCAUAAAUCUUUGAAUCAAGAUUCCUAGUCUGGCCUAAGUCUUUGAGCUCACUGUUCUGCCUGAUUAACUCAUUCAAUAAAUAUUUAUUAAAGGUCUCCUAUAUACUAAGGGCUAGAGGUAUAAAAAGGUCCAUCUCUUGUCUUGUCAGGCCUCAUGGUCUUGUGGGGGUUUAAACUAGUUACCAGGCAUUUAUAUCAUUGAGUAAUGAGAGUUAUGGCAAGGUCAGGACACAGUGCUAUAGGGAUAAGAUGAGAAGCAUCUGACCCAGUCUAAGAACCCUGGGAGCUUCUUGAAGAAGUCAGUGGGGCUGCAGCCUGUCCCUGGGUGCUAUGAGGGAUCGCAGUAGAAAUGGGUCUCAAGGAGUUCGCAGUUUAAUGGGAUCUCAUACCUCCUCACAAGGGUAGAAAUAAAGGCCAUUAUGAGAGAAAAAGAAUACAUGAAUACUUUAAGGAAAUGGCCUGAAAUGCAGAUAGCAAGAUCCAUAGAAAUAUUUAUUACAGUAAUAUUUAUAAAAUGGAAAAAUUGGGAAGAAUCAAAAUAUCUCACAACAGGAGAAAGGCUAGAUAAAUUACAGUGUAAACAAACAAUGGACUAAUGUGUAGUCUUCAACAAUGAUGUUGAAGAAUUCUUUUUUUCUUUUUUUUCUUUUUUUGAGACAGAGUCUCUCUAUUGCCAGGCUGGAGUGCAGUGGCACGAUCUUGGUUCAUUGCAACCUCCACCUCCUGGGUUCAAGUGAUUCUGCCUCAGCCACCUGAGUAGCUGGGACUACAAGUGCGCGCCACCAUGCCCAGCUAAUUUUUGUAUUUUUAGUAGAGACAGGGUUUCACCAUGUUGGCCAGGAUGGUCUUGAUCUCUUGACCUCAUGAUCUGCCUGCCUUGGCGUCCCAAAGUACUGGGAUUAAAGGCGGAGCCACCGUGCCCAACCAAAGAAUUCUUAAUAGCUUGGGUACAUGUCUGUGAUAUAAUUGAAAUGCAAAAAGAGGAUACAAAAUGUUACCUACGGUAAGAACCUAUCUAUGUUAAAAAUUCAUAGGCAAUAGGAUCUAAAGUAAUAAAAUACUUAGGAAUAAAUUUAACAAAAGAAGUGCAAGCUUUAUACAUUGAAGCUACAAAACCUCAUUGAAAGAAACUAAGGAGAGCUAAAUAAAUAUCUUGUGUUCGUGGAAUAGAAGACAAUAUCGUUAAGAUGACAAUACUCUCCAAAUUGAUCUAUAAAUUCAACACAAUCUCCAUAAAAAAUCCCAGCUGGCUUUUUUUUUUUUUUUUGCAUAAAUCAACAAGCCCAACCUAGAAUUCAUAUGGAAAUGCAAAGCACCGGCUGGGAGCAGUGGCUCACACCUGUAAUCCCAGCACUUUGGGAGGCCGAGGAGGGAGGAUCAUUUGAGGUCAGGAGUUCGAGACCAGCCUGGCCAAUAUGGUGAAACCCCGUCUCUACCAAAACUACAAAAAUUAACCAGGUGUGGUGCCACAAGUCUGAAAUCCCAGCCAUUUGGGAGGCCGAGGCACGAAGAUUGCCUGAACCUGGGAAGUGGAGGUUGCAGUGAGCCCAGAUCACACCACUGCACUCUAGCUUGGGUGACAGGGUGAGUCUCCGUCUGAAAAAGAAAAAAAAAGAGAGAGAGAGACAGGAAAGAAAAUAAAAAUGCAGGCCAGGCGCUGUGGCUCAUGCCUGUAAUCCUAGCACUUUGCAAGGCCGACACGGUCAGAUUACCUGAGGUUGGGAGUUCAAGACCAGCCUGGCCAACAUGGUGAAACACUGUCUCUACUAAAAAAAAAAAAUACAAAAAAUUAGCCGGGUGCAGUGGCGCGCGCCUGUAAUCCCAGCUACUCUGGAGGCUGAGGCAGGAGAAUCGCUUGAACCUGGGAGGCGGAGGUUGUGGUGAGCCGAGAUCAUGCCACUGCACUCCAGCCUGGGCUACAGAGCGAGACUUGGUCUCGAAAGAAAAAAAAAAAAGCAAAGGGCCCAGAAUAGCCAUAACAAUCUUUAAAAGGAAGAAAGUUGUAGUGCUCACACUUUCUGAUUUCAAAACUUACUACAAAGCUACAGACUGUGUGGUUUUCAAAGAGGACAGACAUAUAGAUCAAUGUAAAGGAAUUGAGAAUCCCGAAAUAAACCCAUACGUUUAUGGACAAUUGAUUUUGAACAAGAGUGCCAAAAUAGUUCAAUGGAGAAAGAAUAGUCUUUUCAACAAAUGGUGUUGGCCGGGCACGGUGGCUCACACCUAUAAUCCCAGCACUUUGGGAGGCCAAGGCAGGAGGAUCACUUGAGCUCAGGAGUUUGAGACUAGCCUGGGCAACAUAGUGAGAUAUCGUCUCUACUAAAAAUAAAAAUUAGGCUGGGUGCAGUGGCUCACGUCUGUAAUCCUAACACUUUGGGAGGCCAAGGUGGGUGGAUCACCUGAGGUCAGGAGUUCGAGACCAGCCUGGCCAACAUGACGAAAUCUCAGCUGGCAUGGUGGCAGGCGCCUGUAAUCCCAGCUACUCAGGAGGUUGAGGCAGGAGAAUCGCUUGAACCCGGGAGGCGGAGGUUGCAGUGAGCCAAGACUGCACCACUUCACUCCAGCCUGGGCAAAAGAGCGAAACUCCAUCUCAGAAAAAAAAUUUUUUAAAUUAAAAAUUAAAAAUUAACUGAAUAUGGCGGCCCACGCCCAUAGUCCCAACUACUUGGGAGGCUGAGGUGGGAGAAUUGCUUGGAUCCUGAGAGGUCAAGGCUACAGUGAGCUGUGGUUGUGCCACUGUGCUUCAGCUUGGGUGACAGAGUGAGACUCUGUUUAAAAAAAAAAAAAAAAAGGAAAUAAUCCUGUGAAGUCAAUUUAGCAUGAAGCCCUCCACUCUUUUUUUUUUUUUUUGACAGAAUUUUUCUCUGUUGCUUAGGCUGGAGUGCAGUGGCGUGAUCAUGGCUCCCUGCAGCCUCGACCUCCUGGACUCAGGCAAUCCUCCCACCUCAGCCUCCCAAGUAGCUGGGCCACAGGCAUGGCCCACCACACCUGGUUAAUUUUUGUAUUUUUUGUAGAGAUGGGGUUUCACCAUGUUGCCCAGACUGGUCUCCAACUCCUGGGCUCAAAAGCGUUCCUCCCGCCUCGGCCUCCCAAAGUGCUGGGAUUACAGGAGUGAGCCACCGUGCCCAGCCUAAGCCCCAUUCUCUUGAUACCUGAUCACCCUUGAUAUCUGAUCAGGUUCCUCAUCCCUCACCAUCCAUCAGGUGAUAUCUGAUUACCUCAGCCUGUCUUCGGCAAGAAUCUUGUAAGGUUUUAAUGCAAAUCUCCUUUACCCCUGGUGUUUUUUCUUAAUAAUUUCCCAUCUUCUGACCCCUACUCUGCACCUCGGUUAUAAAUUCCUACUUCCCAUGCUGUAUUGAGAGUUGAGCCCAAUUUCUCUUUCUCCCUCACUGCAAAAUCCCAUUGUCAUGGUCCCUAUACCUACUGCAAUGGUCCUGAAUAAAGUCUGCCUUACCAUG